rnacentral:lncRNA from 1 species
CGACGUCUUCACCUAUUUGGUGCUGUUUUGAUUGUUGUUGACAACGACAUCCCAUUGAGGUGCUGUGUUGCACCACAUGGAUUCCAAAUUACUUGAAUUGUAGUAGGAGCUACUGACAAUUGUACGGAAGCUGCAGUUGGUAUUCUUUCUACGUUGUGAUUUUAUUGGCAUCGUAGUAGUUUACAAAUAAAGUGCGAAACUAUGACCGACUAGGUGACGAGCCAUCAAAAAAGAUUCGGCAACAUUAAGGCUUUGAGAGAGCUUGUGGUGUUGUUGCUCCCUGAUGUAAAUCACUUUUGAGGAGGACAACAUGAUUUUAUUCUUGGCAGUUGAUUAGAGUAGCGACACCUCGCAACUGGGCUGUGAACAUUGUAAUUCUACUAUCAAUGUCGGCAAAUUGACUUCCUAUUGGAAUCAAACUUGAUAGGAACAUAAAAAAAAAGCAGACGAAGCCUUGAUUGCCUCAAAGCAUGGUGAUAAGUGUUGGCAAUUUGGUUGCAAGGCGACACUAGUGUAGUAGUUGUCGGAGCAGUGCUCGGCCAAAGAACCAAUUUGUGGUUGUGUGAAUCAUAGUGUUAUAAACGCUAUGAGGGUUAAU